AGCCAUGCAUGUUUCCGCAAUCAGGGACGAAUAGCUCAGUAAAACUGCGAUGAUUUAGUCUGGCUGUGUAGAUAACUACGUGAAAAUGUAGCUAAGGGAAGGCAGAAUAAGACGCAGGACUAUCAGUUAGUUGGUAGUGUAAUGGACUACCAAGACAGUGACGGUUGACGGGAAAUUAGGGUUUUGUACCGGAGAGGGAGCCUGAGAGAUUGCUCCCACGUCCAAGGACGGCAGCAGGCGCGAAAAUUGCCCACUCUUUGCAGGAGGCAGUUAUGAGACGUGAAGAUGAGUAUCUUGUAAAGAGGGAUAGGAGAAUUGGAGGGCAAGUUUGGUGCCAGCAGCCGCGGUAAUACCGACUCCAAGAGUGUGUAUGAGAGAUGCUGCAGUUAAAAAGUCCGUAGUCAUAGAAGGGCAAAGAGAGAUGCGAGGUCUCACAGUGCGAUGAUGGAGGA
rnacentral:rRNA from 1 species